GAUUUACUUCCUCCGUUCGAAAUUACUCGUUCAAAAAAUGAAUGUAUCUAGAUGUAGUUUAGUUGUAGAUACAUCUAUUUUAUUGACAAGUAAUUCCGAACGGAGGGAGUAUCUG
rnacentral:pre_miRNA from 1 species